rnacentral:rRNA from 1 species
UGAGGAAUAUUGCACAAUGGGCGCAAGCCUGAUGUAGCGACGCCGCGUGUGGGAUGAAGGGGCUACGCCUCGUAAACCACUGUAGCCCGGGACGAAAAACGCCUUAGAGGCGUUAGACGGUACCGGGAAAGUAAGGGUCGGCUAACUCCGUGCCAGCAGCCGCGGUAAUACGGAGGGUGCAAGCGUUAUCCGGAUUCACUGGGUUUAAAGGGUGCGUAGGUGGGCAGAUAAGUCAGUGGUGAAAUCUUCCGGCUUAACCGGGAAACUGCCGUUGAUACUAUUUGUCUUGAAUAUUGCGGAGGUAAGCGGAAUAUGUCAUGUAGCGGUGAAAUGCUUAGAUAUGACAUAGAACACCAAUUGCGAAGGCAGCUUACUACACAAUCAUUGACACUGAGGCACGAAAGCGUGGGUAGCGAACA